GCAUGCAUCCUGUAUGAUCGUUUGCACUGACGCACAGACUGUACCUAUCGUUUUAUUUCAUAAUUUCAUAUCACCCACUUCUCGUUCACGAAAUCACAACUCGAGUCUUGACAGCCAGCCGCUACGGCUACGAGCUGUGUCUUUAACUAUUCCGGUUUUCAAUAAACAUAUCGGAACUGUCGUGACCGAGUCUCGUCGUUUCGCUCGAAUCGUGUAUUUUAAACUUGGCAGGCAACGCAAAACCUCGCAUGUUCACGAUAUGACGUUCUGAGAUCAACCACAUCUGACACUUCCUUAUAACAUAUACAUCAAGUAUUGAUUUGCGGUUUAAAUGCAGUGAUUGUUACACGGCUUGAAACAAUGAAAAUCAACAUCAAGAUACUUAACGGACAGGAAUGUUCAUUCGACGUUCAGAGUGAGAUGACAAUAGCAGAGCUAAAAAAUCAUGUAUUUGAAGCACUUAAGGUUCCUGUUAAAGAUCAAAGAUUAUUGCUUACCGGUCGUCCUUUAUGUGAUGAAAAAACUUUAGUUGAUUAUCCACAAAUAAAGGAUGGUACCAGAUUGAACUUAAUUGUUAAGCAGCAAAUUAUUAAACCUGAUGAAUUAGAAGAAAUGAUCACUAAACAUGUACGAGAACAUUAUAGCACAGAAGAUACAGUCAAGGUACUAAAAGAAUUCAUGAAGGAAUUUGAUCGUUCUCUUACUCAGUUCAGCUUAGACGAUUACGAGCGUAUGGCAGAAUCUUUGUUGACCAAUGAUGAACAACAGAAGAGUCAAUGAUAACUGUUAAAGCAUAUGUAAAAAAUACAAAAAGAGGAAACAUAAAUAAAUUAAGAUAUGUUUUACCAUCAAGCUCAACUUCAUAAGAUUCCAUCACUUCUUGAAUUGCUUCACCAACUUCACAAAGUUUAACAUCAAUACCAGCAGCCUAAUAAAUUGUCAAUAAGUUAUAUAAUUUAAUAAAUGUUAAUCCUCUGAGUUUA